rnacentral:rRNA from 1 species
GAGUUUGAUCCUGGCUCAGGACGAACGCUGGCGGCGUGCCUAACACAUGCAAGUCGAACGGAGAACUCGAAAAGCUUGCUUUGAGAGUUCUUAGUGGCGGACGGGUGAGUAACGCGUGGGCAACCUCCCCCUUAAACCGGGACAACCCUUGGAAACGAGGGCUAAUACCGGAUACGCUUUUCUGAGGACAUCCUCGGGAAAGGAAAGGCGGCCUCUGAAGAUGCUGCCGAUAAGGGAUGGACCCGCGUCUGAUUAGCUGGUUGGUGGGGUAAAGGCCUACCAAGGCGACGAUCAGUAGCCGGCCUGAGAGGGUGAACGGCCACACUGGGACUGAGACACGGCCCAGACUCCUACGGGAGGCAGCAGUGGGGAAUCUUCCGCAAUGGACGAAAGUCUGACGGAGCAACGCCGCGUGUAUGACGAAGGCCUCGGUUGUAAGUACUGUC